CAGAGGGGGCAAGCGUUGCUCGGAAUCACUGGGCGUAAAGGGCGCGUAGGCGGGAUGGCAAGUCAGUCGUGAAAUCUCUCGGCUCAACCGAGAAACGUCGGCUGACACUGCCGUUCUUGAGGGAUGCAGAGGAGACUGGAGUUCCCGGUGUAGCGGUGAAAUGUGUAGAGAUCGGGAGGAACACCGGUGGCGAAGGCGGGUCUCUGGGCAUUUCCUGACGCUGAGGCGCGAAAGCGUGGGGAGCAAACGGGAUUAGAUACCCCGGUAGUCCACGCUGUAAACGAUGACGACUAGGUGUGGGGUGGUUUAGUCCAUUCCGUGCCGCAGCUAACGCAUUAAGUCGUCCGCCUGGGGAGUACGGCCGCAAGGUUG
rnacentral:rRNA from 1 species